rnacentral:rRNA from 1 species
AGAGUUUGAUCCUGGCUCAGGAUGAACGCUGGCGGCGUGCCUAAUACAUGCAAGUCGUGCGGAAAGGCCACUUCGGUGGUACUCGAGCGGCGGACGGCAGAGUAACGCGUAGGAACAUACCCCAAACUGAGGCAUAACUGCUCGAAAGAGCAGCUAAUACCGCAUGUGAUCUUCGGAUUAAAGCUUCGGCGGUUUGGGAAUGGCCUGCGUCCGAUUAGCUGGUUGGUGAGGUAAAUGCUCACCAAGGCUUCGAUCGGUAGCUGGUCUGAGAGGAUGAUCAGCCUGACUGGAACUGAGAACGGUCCAGACUCCUACGGGAGGCAGCAGUAGGGAAUUUUCCACAAUGGGCGAAAGCCUGAUGGAGCAACGCCGCGUGCAGGAUGAAUGCCUUCGGGUUGUAAACUGUCUUUAUUAGUGAAGAAUAUGACGGUAACUAAUGAAUAAGGGUCGGCUAACUACGUG